GCAAGUCGAGCGAAUCUGAGGGAGCUUGCUCCCAAGAUUAGCGGCGGACGGGUGAGUAACACGUGGGUAACCUGCCUGUAAGAUUGGGAUAACUCCGGGAAACCGGAGCUAAUACCGGAUAAUAAUUUGAACCGCAUGGUUCAAAUUUGAAAGAUGGCUUCGGCUAUCACUUACAGAUGGACCCGCGGCGCAUUAGCUAGUUGGUGAGGUAACGGCUCACCAAGGCAACGAUGCGUAGCCGACCUGAGAGGGUGAUCGGCCACACUGGGACUGAGACACGGCCCAGACUCCUACGGGAGGCAGCAGUAGGGAAUCUUCCGCAAUGGACGAAAGUCUGACGGAGCAACGCCGCGUGAACGAUGAAGGCCUUCGGGUCGUAAAGUUCUGUUGUUAGGGAAGAACAAGUGCUAGAGUAACUGCUAGCACCUUGACGGUACCUAACCAGAAAGCCACGGCUAACUACGUGCCAGCAGCCGCGGUAAUACGUAGGUGGCAAGCGUUGUCCGGAAUUAUUGGGCGUAAAGCGCGCGCAGGCGGUUUCUUAAGUCUGAUGUGAAAGCCCACGGCUCAACCGUGGAGGGUCAUUGGAAACUGGGGAACUUGAGUGCAGAAGAGGAGAGUGGAAUUCCACGUGUAGCGGUGAAAUGCGUAGAGAUGUGGAGGAACACCAGUGGCGAAGGCGACUCUCUGGUCUGUAACUGACGCUGAGGCGCGAAAGCGUGGGGAGCGAACAGGAUUAGAUACCCUGGUAGUCCACGCCGUAAA
rnacentral:rRNA from 1 species